AGAUUGAACGCUAGCGGGAUGCUUUACACAUGCAAGUCGAACGGCAGCGCGGACUUCGGUCUGGCGGCGAGUGGCGAACGGGUGAGUAAUAUAUCGGAACGUGCCCAGUAGCGGGGGAUAACUACGCGAAAGCGUGGCUAAUACCGCAUACGCCCUACGGGGGAAAGGGGGGAUUCUUCGGAACCUCUCACUAUUGGAGCGGCCGAUAUCAGAUUAGCUAGUUGGUGAGGUAAAGGCUCACCAAGGCGACGAUCUGUAGCUGGUUUGAGAGGACGACCAGCCACACUGGGACUGAGACACGGCCCAGACUCCUACGGGAGGCAGCAGUGGGGAAUUUUGGACAAGUGGGGAAACCUGAUCCAGCCAUCCCGCGUGUGCGA
rnacentral:rRNA from 1 species